CCUACGGGUGGCAGCAGUCGAGAAUCAUUCACAAUGGGGGAAACCCUGAUGGUGCGACGCCGCGUGGGGGAAUGAAGGUCUUCGGAUUGUAAACCCCUGUCAUGUGGGAGCAAAUUAAAAAGAUAGUACCACAACAGGAAGAGACGGCUAACUCUGUGCCAGCAGCCGCGGUAAUACAGAGGUCUCAAGCGUUGUUCGGAAGCACUGGGCGUAAAGCGUGCGUAGGCGGUUUCGUAAGUCGUGUGUGAAAGGCGCGGGCUCAACCCGCGGACGGCACAUGAUACUGCGAGACUAGAGUGAUGGAGGGGGAACCGGAAUUCUCGGUGUAGCAGUGAAAUGCGUAGAUAUCGCGAGGAACACUCGUGGCGAAGGCGGGUUCCUGGACAGUAACUGACGCUGAGGCACGAAGGCCAGGGGAGCGAAAGGGAUUAGAUACCCCGGUAGUC
rnacentral:rRNA from 1 species